rnacentral:rRNA from 1 species
GAGCUUUUCAGUAGUUUACUACAGAAAAUGACUGAGCGGCGAACGGGUGAGUAACGCGUGAGCAAUCUACCUUAGUUACUGGGAUAGCCCGAGGAAACUCGGAUUAAUACCGGAUAUUCUUAUUUUUUCACAUGAAGUUUUAAGGAAAGGUCAGCCGAACUAAGAUGAGCUCGCGUUCUAUCAGCUAGUUGGUGGGGUAAAAGCCUACCAAGGCUACGACGGAUAGCUGGUCUGAGAGGACGAUCAGCCACACUGGGACUGAGACACGGCCCAGACUCCUACGGGAGGCUGCAGCAGGGAAUAUUGCGCAAUGAGCGAAAGCUUGACGCAGCGACACCGCGUGUGGGAUGACGGUUCUAGGAUUGUAAACCACUUUCAGGAGGGAAGAAAAUGACGGUACCUCCACAAGAAGACCCGGCCAACUACGUGCCAGCAGCCGCGGUAAUACGUAGGGGUCAAGCGUUGUCCGGAUUUAUUGGGCGUAAAGAGCUCGUAGGCGGUUCAACAAGUCGGUCGUAAAAGUUUAGGGCUCAACCCUAAAAUGUCGAUCGAUACUGUUGUGACUAGGAUACGGUAGAGGUGAAUGGAAUUCCGAGUGUAGCGGUGAAAUGCGUAGAUAUUCGGAGGAACACCAAUUGCGAAGGCAGUUCACUGGACCGUGAUCGACGCUGAGGAGCGAAAGCUAGGGGAGCAAACAGGAUUAGAUACCCUGGUAGUCCUAGCUGUAAACGAUGGAUACUAGAUGUAGGAACUGGAUUGACGGUUUCUGUAUCGUAGCUAACGCGUUAAGUAUCCCGCCUGGGGAGUACGGUCGCAAGACUAAAACUCAAAGGAAUUGACGGGACCCCGCACAAGCGGCGGAGCAUGCGGCUUAAUUCGAUGAUACCCGUAGAACCUUACCUGGACUUGACAUAUAGGGAAAAGCUAAAGAAAUUUAGUGUGCGUAAGCGCCCUAUACAGGUGGUGCAUGGCUGUCGUCAGCUCGUGUCGUGAGAUGUUUGGGUUAAGUCCCGCAACG